GGCGCCUGCGCUCUGCUCGCGCAGGAAGUCUGGACGCAACAGCGGCGAGGAGUUUAUUAAUGAGUUUUCCACGUUCGCAUGUUAACAGUGAGGUUAUUUAAUGCUCCCAAAGUAUGGUAUCUGGUGGUGAUCAAAGGUCGGAGACCCCUGGAUGGUUACCUUACUCAAACACAUUACAUGUGAAGGCUGGUAAGGAGGGAACAUAUAAAUUUAAUGCAGUUCCCCUAGUUCUGCCUUGUCGACUUAUAAAGUUGAGUUCGUAAAUGUUCUUGAACUAACCUUAUCAACGGAGGGUGAAAUUUUCAAAUAUUUACUGUUUAUUCGGUCAAACUCUAAAUGCCAAAAAAGCUCCAAGCCCGCUAUGAAGUAAAUACUCGCCGCCUGGAGUCCAGUCUUACAGAGAAGAUACAGUAAUGGCAAGGAAAAAAAAGGGGAUACAGGUGCCAAUAGAAAAACUGCAAGGAAUUUAAACAGCCUCCAUUCAUACACAGAAAUGUGCAAAUGUAAGCUGUUUGAGAGAUGGGACAUCUUUGUCUUGUUCAUGACUGUAUAUCUACAACGUAGAAACAUCUGGAACAUGGGUAUCCGCACUGUAGGAAGUUGAACAGCAGGAAAAAAAAACAAAAAACCAAUGGAUAAUGGCUCUAUUCAGUAGAUGCCAGAACAGCCCUCCCGGUAUAACAAUCCCAAACGUCUUCAGACAUUACCAGUAUCCAGAGGAGCAAAAUCAUCGCCCCCUUGAGAUUCCUUCACUGCUUCACUGUAAAAUUCUCUCAACUUUUCUGUAUGCUUGAAGUUGUUCAGAAAAGUUGGGAGAAAAAAUAUUUAAUGACAUUGAAGAAUGCUCAUAAACACCACGUAGAAGGUGCGACUAUGAAGAGCUAUGUACUAAUAUUUUGUAAAAGAAAAAACUGGAAGUCAGCAAUAAUACCUGAAACCAAUGAGUAUCAGUGCCUACACAAAAACUUACAAGAUUUCUAAAAUGAAUAUGUAACAAAGACAAAAAAAACAAAUUGUGUAUAAAUUGUGAAGAAAAACAUUUCUAAUUGCUCUCAGGUUUGAGUCACCUUCAACCUGACCUUUUACUACAGUGAUAAAUUUCGGUGCAUGCACAUGGCCCUUCCUAAGUCACCACAGCCACCAUCCACGAUCACCUCCCCCUGCUGCCUUACUACUCUUGUCAGUCAGGAACCAGCAGUAUCCGUGUUGCGUGGUGACAUACCAGGAACGCAGAAUAUGGGACCCCCAGCCCCUACUACCGAAUUCGGAGCUGCAUUAAAUCAACAUCCCCGAAUGAUUCCUACACAUGUUCGAAUUUACCAAUGUGUUACUUUCAUGGACCAUUCCUUGACAGUGCAGGCUAUACUUCUGACAGUGGCAGCAACUGGGACAUGCCAUUGGGGAUAGAAUAAAAACUCUGUGACUGAGAACGUAGUAGAGCCAAGAAGUCUCAAUGGUCCGCCUCAUUCCGGGACUCACCCGUCCGCUGGGAAGCAGCUUCCGCGGACAGCGGCCCGCAUGCGCCACGCUGGGGCUGGU